rnacentral:rRNA from 1 species
ACUCCUACGGGAGGCAGCAGUGGGGAAUAUUGGACAAUGGGCGAAAGCCUGAUCCAGCCAUGCCGCGUGUGUGAAGAAGGCCUUCGGGUUGUAAAGCACUUUCAGUGAGGAAGAAGGCCUUGAGGUUAAUACCCUCGAGGAAGGACAUCACUCACAGAAGAAGCACCGGCUAACUCCGUGCCAGCAGCCGCGGUAAUACGGAGGGUGCGAGCGUUAAUCGGAAUUACUGGGCGUAAAGCGCGCGUAGGCGGCUUGAUAAGCCGGUUGUGAAAGCCCCGGGCUCAACCUGGGAACGGCAUCCGGAACUGUCAGGCUAGAGUGCAGGAGAGGAAGGUAGAAUUCCCGGUGUAGCGGUGAAAUGCGUAGAGAUCGGGAGGAAUACCAGUGGCGAAGGCGGCCUUCUGGACUGACACUGACGCUGAGGUGCGAAAGCGUGGGUAGCAAACAGGAUUAGAUACCCUGGUAGACUGUC